UGAGAGAUUUACGCCACAUCAUUAAUGAAUGUGUCCUUGCGUUAAAAAAAAGCGGUGAAGUCUUUAGAGGCACUGAGCACCGGCCAGUCUUUCACAGGCGGAUCCUUGGUGUCCAAUAAGAUACACAGCUUUACGAAGAGCACCCAAGGAUCCAGUGACGCAUGCGUUCGACUCUGUGUGAAGAAGCUUGACGUAGUAAAACACGCAAGAAGAAUUCAGGACUACACGGGGAAGGUUAAUCCAUAAGGGGAAAUACUGAGGUGUUUUGCUGAUUUCACCACGGGAGAGAGUUCAACUUCAUUCGUUCCUCCUGCGUCCGUGCCCAUCCCGCAGCCCAGGCGUUCGUGUUUAUUUCGUUUAAAUGCUUACAAGUGUAGGUUACCGAAUUACUAGGAUGUAGGUGGCCCAGUUUUUCUACAGUGGCUCUGUCUUGGGUGUGCAGUUGUAAGGAAGCCACCCAGAAUCUGCUAUGCUGCCCCCGUUUAACGGAGCGGUCAGCUGCAACUGCGGUCAGAAAGGCAGAAAAGACACACGAGCUGCGGAAUGAACGGCAGCCGCCUCCGCCGCACAGUUAUGUAGCGUCUGGUGGAUUGAACGAUCAAUGCUUCGAAGCUGCGCCGCAGGAUGGAGGUGAUGCACAGUGCCAGCAGGGUCAACAGACCAGGGAUCUACGGACCUCACGGGAAGACGUAUUCCAGCGGCAAACGAGUGCAAGUAUAAUGAUCUCUAACGUGAGUGGGCAAGACCAGAGGGCAACCGAUUGUACGAUUGUCUGGUAUUCGCCCGAGGACAGAUAUAAUCCUCUGUAUUUUGGAAGUCCCCUGGAAGAGGGUCAAGGGUCCGGUGUAUCCCCCACCGUGGAUACCUGCCUACGGUAUGCAGGUACG